UACGUAGGGGGCGAGCGUUGUCCGGAGUUACUGGGCGUAAAGGGCAUGCAGGCGGUCGGACGCGUUUCGGGUGACAGCGGGUGGCUUAACUACCCGAGUGGUCGAAAGACGGUUUGACUUGAGGACGCGAGAGGGACACGGAAUUCCGGGUGGAGUGGUGAAAUGCGUAGAGAUCCGGAGGAACACCGAAGGCGAAGGCAGUGUCCUGGCGCGUAACUGACGCUGAGGUGCGAAAGCCAGGGGAGCGAACGGGG
rnacentral:rRNA from 1 species